CUCCAGAACAAUGUCUGCCUGCAUAUCGCUAUGCUCCCCAUCAUGAUGAUAAUGAACUGAAACUCUAAAAUUUAAGACGUUCCAGUGUGAUUGGGAGAUGGAUCUUAUCUUAGAACACAUUUGGCUCCUUUAAGUCAUUCGUAUUAAAGUGACUAAACUCUUUUGCCUUUUAACAACUUA